rnacentral:lncRNA from 12 species
AUGAGAGUGACUGAGGGCAACGCACCCGGGAGUAGACACGGCACCCCAAGGCUGAGGGCAAGGGUGCCAGGAUACCCCUGCUGUCAAACACCUGUGGUCCCUAGGAAGCUGGCACCUCGGCCCCACGAGGGAGAUGGGGGUAGGCUCUCUUGGCUGGCAGGCCUGGUAUCUUCCUCCUUGGGCCCCAGGGGGCCUGGCUCCCACAGGAGUGGCCGUGUGCCUACUGCCUGGUGGAGAAGGAAGCCCCAGAGGUACCAGAGGGAUCAGCUGGAGGAGCCCAGGCUUCAGAGGCAACCAUACCUGGGUACAAGCCCCGGCUCUGCACUGCACAAGCCUCAGUGUCCCUAUCUGCAUAAAGGGGACAAGCAUCCUCUUGCCCUGCUUGCACAUGAAGGUGGUGCCCGGACAGCGGCGACCGUGACAACAGCAUCAGUAACAGGAGCGGCUGGUCGAGGGCAAGAGGGUGGCAGAGCCAGAGGACGCAGGGCCAGCAGCCCAGCAGCCUGGGGAGGGGUCGCCCCUCAUGCUUCCAGAGCCCAGACAGAACGGAAGCCGCCAACAGUGCAAACCCUAGCUUUAUUGGUCCAGGUUGUUCACAGUGAGGCUUCCCAGGGACAGGGGUCUGGGGACACCCCCCUCCCCCUGCCCGUGUGUUCUCUGCCCUGGCACCUGGGAAGAAGGAAGGGACGUGGCUCUGGGGGGUGGUGGCUACAGGGUAAUUUAGCGUGGGGCCCAGGGUCUGUUCUUCAGAGCAGGAGGUAGAAGGGAUCACAUAAAGUUCUUUAUUACAGACCUACAAAAAAUGAGAGAAUUAUAUAUUACUCUCCCUUGUUUGGGUUUCUUUUUCCUUCUUUCUUUUUACAAAACAGCAGCAGGAAAGAAAAAUGCAGGAGACAGAUGGGCCAGGCACCAGGGUGCAGAUCAGAAGGGACCAGGGCGACGUGGACCGAGCUGUCACCCGGCACGGAGCACUGUGGGCUGGCCUGGGGCUCUUUCCAGCAUCCUGGGAGGACAGAGACAAGCCCUAGUGGGAGCAGACAAGACAGUGGGUAGGAGAUGGCUGUCCCCAGGUCAGUGGCAGCACCAUUCCCCGGGUAGCCACCCUGGAGGUCAGCCGGGCACCCAUGUUUGGGGGCCUGGUCUCCAAAGCACGGGCCCAUGGGGGCCGGGCAAAAGGGAGGAGGCAGGAAGGGCCAACACGGAAGGGCUCAGAGUUCUCACGGGGCCCCUCCUCGAACUGCAGGGGCCCUGGUGGGCAAGGG